AAGAAUAAAAAGAAAGAGAAGCCUUUCUGAUUGCCUUUGCAGAAAAUACAAGCGAGCUACAUCUUACUUUUCUACAAAAAAAGCUCACCCUUUCUAUUAUCCAUCUUUUUCCUAAUCAUAAAGAUGUAUCUAUCAUAAAUAAAACCACGAUAUACUUCCCCCAAUUUCAUACAAAAAUGCAAUAAGGGUUAUCUAGGCAUACAUAAACAUUCUUUUUGCUGAUCAAAUAAGUUAACAUAGCCAUCUCUGAAAAUUCAGGUUUUAGGUUUCUGCCUUCAGCUUUUCAGAAUACCCAGGACAAGCAUGUCUCUGAAGACUCAACCACCAUCAUUCUUCCAAUAAAGGAAGAACUAUUAAUAUAAUUUUAUUUACAUGAUCUGAUUUUCCAUCUACCACUCAGGAAAAAGGGAAAUAAAUAAUAACCUGUUAAUACUAUUUCUGUUCACAAUAGGAAGAAUUCAGUGGUGGGAUUCAUAUGUUUUUUCUACCGGUUCUGUGGGCGUGGCAGGGGAAGGAUACUGUAAAAUCUCCAGUCAGAAGUGGUAUUUGCCAAUUCUCCAAACUACUCAAAAUUUCCGCUACCGGUUUUCCAGAACUGGUCAGAACUUGCUGAAUACCAUCUGUGGAAGAGUUCUAAUCUUAUUUAGUUGCCAACUACAUUUCCAGUCCUUCAUUUUGAACUAGGAUAGAAGCUCUACAGGAUAAAGUACACUAAUUCUUUUCCUUUUCUUUUUUUUUUAGGUCAAGUUCUGGCAAGACAUGAGAAAGCUUUGUGCAGUUUCCUUGUGCUUCCUAUUUGUGGCUGAGCCAAAAUGCUUCAGCAGUAAUCUUCUGUUUUGACUGUUCAUUGGCGCUAGAAAUUGUUUUGUGUAUAUUAUGGUUUUGAAAGCAGCCAAAGUUAACCUAGAGAAUGGGCUUCAACUCCUCUGUAUAAGCAAAUAAAAUAUACAAAUAUCAAAUACAGUAAAAUUAAAAACUGGUUGCACCAGUAUAUUUUACUUUGAUGUAACAGCAAAUCGUGUUGAGUCAAGUAGUUAGGGUGAAUCAAUUAGGUAAUGGAAUCAGUACCACAAAGACAGUGCUGCAUUUGAGGGAAAAAAAGAAAUAUCACGAAGUUCUAGGCAGUUACUUUUAGAUUUUUAUCUGAUAUUGGAUAAAGUACUUAUACUCUCUGAAGAAAUCCAUCAAAAUAUUAACUAGCCCUGUCUCUGGCCUUUCCAAGUACUCAAAGAUCAGCCAGAUUCUGCCACUUCUGAAGAUAGAUGGUAUGUCCUAGUAUAAAUUCAGAAGUCCUGCAAAUCGUGUAAAUCUGUUUUAUCAGGGUCUGCAAUUUUACGUUCUGUUUAUAUUCACCCAUGUUUUCUGGUAGGAAGGAGAGAUUUAGAACAAGCAUCCAUUGAGUGAUGCUUGCAGUCCUGGGUUUCAGGCAGUGAACAUUUCCAGAACUUUACGGAAAUACUUGAAAAUGAAUCAACAAGAAUGUGUGCCCUGUUUCUAGCCUACUUGCUUCAUUAAAUUCUGGGCCAGGGGAUUUGAACAAAUUGCACAAAUUAUGCAAACUAAUUACAUUUGCUUAUAUGGUAUGCUUGCUUAUUUGCUUAAUUUUAUGUUGGUUUCAGAAAAAGUUAUGAUUAUUGGAGAAAUUUUAAACUUGUUCAUUUCUGUAUCCAAUCAAAGAGUUUCCUUGAAGUAAGAUGGGUGGCGUAUACAUUUAUAAUACAUAUAAAAUACAAUAAAAUCAUGAGGAAUAAAUUCUUGCUCUGUCAUGAGAAGCAGAAUUAUGUAUUCAACAUCCCAGAAAUACUUGUCAGAAAUUCUGAAUAGGUUAUGUUUCUAACAUGUGAAUUCAAUCUUUAAAGCUGAUUCAAGAAAAUGUAAGAGAACACACCAAACUAAAUAUGAAUAUUGAUAUAAAUUCUCAAUUCCCUGUUUAUAAUACAAUAAUGACAUACUGUAACACAACUCGAUACAAAGACUAAAAAGCAAUGGGUACAGUGCUACUGUCUGCUUAGGGUUGACUUUCCAAUUAAUGCAUAGUACCGUUAUUAUACUAAAUGAACGUGGUUAGGAUGUCAUUCUAUGUUUUCCCUGCAAAGCAACUAUCUACAGCCCUGAAUCAUUUUUCAUUUUGCAAGUUUAUGAGACCUAUUGCUAUAUUUCAGAUUAAUAAUUUAUAGUAAAAUAAAAAAUGCAUUUAUUAUAGGUUAGAGGUAGACUGUAGUAUACAAUUAAAUGUAUUUAAACCCAUUGAGCCUGUGCUGAGUUAUGUACUUCUCAUUUUUUUUGAGAUUACCAGGAAAUGGGAGUUGGAAUCAUCUAUGAGACAGGCUAGUCUUUAACCCCACAAAGCUUCCCCAAAUAGUUCAAAAUGUGGCCAUCUUGACAGUGCAAUCUAGGAGUCAAAGAUCAAUUGUUGAUUAAAUGCCUACCAUUGAUGGGUCAUGGUGACUUGGUCACUUGUGAUACUGUAGUAAGGGGUUAAGGUCCUUGGGAAGUACAUAAUAUUUAAGCUGAAAUAGGAUUGUGCUUUUAUAUUUUCUAAAAUAUAUUUUUUAAACAUCAGGAAGAACAUGAUACUUUUCCUAUUUUUCAUAAUAGACAAAAAUCUUGAAGCACAUUAAUGAGCAAAGAAAUGCACUGUGCAUAACGUCUUUCAAAAAUAGGGAUGCUCCUUUUAUUUUCAUCAUCCACCAAAUGGUACUAUUUUCUCAAUUUAAAAUACAGGGAUUUGUUAGAAAAAUAUGUAAAUUUUUAAAAAUUUGACUUCUCUGGAAGUCUGUUUGAAGAACGAUAAACUAUUAUCAUCCCACUUAUGUCUCCAGAGACAGUAACACAUUAAUAUAAAUGGGCUUUACUUCUGUAACAAUAAAAUAUAUUACAUUGCUGAUAUAUUUUGUCUUUUUCCAUUUUUAUUGGCGAGUCUUAAUAUAUUCCAUUGUACUCUUUUUCUUUAUUUCCUCAAGAGGAGUAAAUUCCACCAAAUAUAUAGUAAUGCCUGUCAUUUGUAUUUUGAGCUUCUGUUGAGUUACUUUGAAAUGAUUAAAAAAUUAGAAGUUUGUACAAAUCUAUACAUAAACUUUAAAAAAUUCCAAGAUAAAGCAGGGUAGAUUUGACUGGCUAAUGCAGUGAUACAUGUGCAAAACGAAAAUGAACUACUGUAUAGGAGUGUGCAUGGGGUUGAUUUAAACUGAAGUCUGUGUAGCAAGUGAAACUUAAAAUCAACUUCAAAUCCCUGUAAAGUUUAUUUUUAUUGAUAAAUGGCCAAAAUAAAGUUUCUGUCCAUCGGCUUACGAAGGUUUCAGUGUUGCUGUUCUCAUGUCGGCAAUGUUCCUUCUAUUUUGGAUGUUAUUAUUCAAGGAAGACAUAAAAGGUUCAUUCACAAUACACUUGUACACAAAUUGAAAAUUGUGGUUAAGUGAUUAAGGCACCAAGUUAGAAAUUGAGAGAUCAAAGCCAUCUGGGUGACUUUGGGCCAGUCACUCUCUCUCAGCUCAGCUCAGCUCACAGAGUUAUUGUGGGCAAAAU